rnacentral:lncRNA from 1 species
AGGUGAACAAUAGCACUUCAAAACUCCUUCAAAAAUACACAUAAUAACUUCUAGUCAAUAUUCACGUAUUUACAAACAUAAAAUCGAAAUAUAAUAUUCAUAACAAUAAAUUAGGGGAAGACAGGAAAUUGCCUUUUUAUGCUUCAGAAUAAUGUAAAAAUUAUGCUAACUCUGCAGUAUUCCAUAUUCAGUCAUUUUAUGAUGUCAUUUUAACCUUAGAACUUGGGAAGAAGCUCCGUUCAGCACCACCAAUAUGUGCUCUAGGCUAUUCACAUGUCACAUGUGAAAAUUGAGGUGGUUUGUAGUUUAUCAAAAUGCAACAACAAUCAGCCUACUGAUCCCAUUGUAUGUCUAGCUAAGUAUUAGAACAGAAACUUAAAAAAAGAACCAUGGACUAACAAACUAUAAAUAAGCAAAGGAACUCGAUGCACUCUUUUUGAAGACAAUUAUUCUUAUCUCCUAUAGGCAGCAGGAGAAUCAUCCACACUAACUGCUGAAAAUAUGAUAUGCAUACCCUCUUGUUAGAAAGGAAACUCAUACUUGAUAGCUUUUCUAUCAUUUAGUUCUUGCCGGUAUGAGAAUUCUUGAGAGUAAAAAUCAUGCUCAACUCUUCUGCUAUGUCUAGACAAAAUAUAUGUUAAAACUAUGAACUAUUAAAAUGAAACCGCCAUCUCUGUAUAGUUUAUUCUACAUGUACUGCAAAAUUUGUCGCAAAGUUAUAUAUGUACUAUUAGAAUUAUCAGCAUACAAAAUAUUAGUUAUUUUGAAACUUCUGCAUAUUGUGAAAGAAAAUUGAACAAUAAAAACUGAAAAGAAGUUCUACUGCAAAAGCCAACCUUAAGUAAAUUGAUUUUCGAAAGUACAUCUAUAUUGUACACACCUACCUCAAAAAUUGCCUCCUAUUUAGACAAUAAGGCAUAACCCUUGGCGUGUCAAGAUUUGGUAACAUCUAUCAACUAUAAUAGAAGGUACUGCAAAACCAGGGUAUAGACAAAAAGCAGGCCAUGUGAAGUUCACCGUGAACAUGAUUUGAGGACAUCUAAUAAAAUAGUCCAUCCUCUAUUUAUAUAAUUCCUGGGUGGAAAGAAUGACAAUUCAUACUCAUACUCUGUAUUGGACGCAAUGAGGGCGGUGUAGUGUUGUGAAUCAAUUGGAACAACUUCACAUGUACAUAGAAAAUGGGGUAUUCCGUUCACCUAAAGUGCCAGGAAACCACCAAUAAUAAUGUAAAUUAGGGUGCCCAUAUAUGUGGUAGCACAUUACGUGACGCCUUCUUCAAGAUGUGCAACAGUGAUUCAUUUCUAUAUAAUACAUAUCUCGAGAGAGGAGAGCACCCGCAUUACAAUCUUCGCUCAGUAGUCAUACUAUGUACUCCCUCCGUCUCAAAAUAAGUGUCUUAACUUUAUACUAACUCUAGUACAAAGUUAUACUAAGCUUGAGACAGUUAUUUUGGGACGGAGGGAGUAUAUUUUAACAGAAAGAGUAAGCAAAAUUUAUUGUCGAAUAGGGCUUACAUCUUAUUCCGGCCAUAACCUUGCCAUUUAUCUAUCUAUUGAAGCAGCAAAAAUCAUGUCUAGUUCUACAUUCUUACCAGUCCAUCCUUUCAAAGGUAUAGAACAAAAAUGCUAGACUUAAGGACAACAUCUUGAUCUUCGAAUGGGGUCCUCUGUCCUUUUGAUUUUCCAUCACAUCUUUACAACUCAUCGCAUAACUUGAUUCCCAUGGAAAUAGUCUAUAGGUGUAGUGUUGUCCUUAGUAGAAAUAAGUCAAAAUAUUUAACCUAACCUUGCCCGACUAAUGUAAAACAAUGUUAAUUGAGUAGUAAGGGUAGUUCAACAAAGAAAAAAAGUAUAUAUGAUGGCAACAGAAAAGUCAUUCACCAAAUUCAUAUUAUAUCAGUUCACACACGUACAGAAUAUAACAUCUGUGAGAACACACAGAAAUAAGUUUAGAUGCAACUUCCAUAGAUGUAAAAUAAUAAUUUCGGAGUACAUAUCCGAUGGUGAAUAUUUCGAGCUAAUCUGCACACAGUGUUUGUAAAAAACAUACCAAAAAAACCAAUUUUUUGUUGCUAUCCAGGAACUUAAAACUUUAGUAGAGAGGGACAGAGAGCGUACCUAGGUCUGUAGCAGAAGGGGCCUGGGAGUUCAAGUGCAUGUGCUCUUUCAUAAAGAACCCAGGUAAGAGGAAAGCAAUUGUACCGCUGGUGAGAAUAGAUCCGGAUUCCAUGCUCGGAGGAGUCGCUGGGAGAUGUUGUCGAUCAACACAUCACAAUAUCAUCGACGUAGGGGGCAUGAGGCCUAAUAGGACCAGACACCCGUUUCUCAAGAUCGCUGCGGGAGCUAGGAUAGAACGCAAGGUUGGAGAAUUUUAGGUCAUCGGUGGAUUCGUUAGUCCUUCAAGAUUGAGGAGGCGGCGGAGGUCCACAGCGGAGAGAGAUUUAUUUUGGAAAAGACAAUGACGGAGAGAUUUGUCUGUUCUUUUUUACUCAAGAGAGAUAUUUUUCUGAGGGAACUAAAGAGAGAUAUUUGUUACAUUGAGAUAUAUAUUUUUUUACUUAAGAG